rnacentral:lncRNA from 1 species
CUUGAAGUGCGUACAGUCUUUUGUUAGAGAAAGAGAUAGAGAGAGCAUAGCGGAGGGGAGGGGAGAGGCUCAAACUUGUGGCGGCCAAACGUGUCCACCACCAGAGCAGCUUCCGCUGGUGUGCGUGCGUGCGUCUCCCACUGCCUGCGUGAGGAAGGGCACCAGAGCGCGUAAGGAAGGAAGGAAGGUUAGGAAGGGGUGAAGAGCAGGCAAAUCGAAGGAAGAUGGAGGACCGACCUUGAGGAGGAGGAGGAGGAGGAGGAGGAGCGACAUCAGCACUGGGGUCGGAUCGGAGCAGAUGCAGACGACCAUGGGAAGAUGCAGACGUCCCGGUGCACGAGCAUGUCUUGGCGACGACGAGAAUCCCUCGAUCUGGCCGCCGGUGAGGCGAGGAAGAGAGGGAGCAGGCAGCCGUCCUGGCCGCUCGCGAUUUUGAGUGGGGAUGGAGAUCCAGGUCGAAGAAGGGAAGGCAUGGCGGAUCUGGG